rnacentral:rRNA from 1 species
GAUGAACGCUGGCGGCGUGCCUAAUACAUGCAAGUCGAGCGAACAGACGAGGAGCUUGCUCCUUUGACGUUAGCGGCGCACGUGUGAGUAACACGUAUGAAACCUACCUAUAUUACUGGGAUAACCUCGGGAAACCGGAGAUUAUACCGGAUAAUAUUCCGAUCCGCAUGGUUCGAUAGUGAAAGAUGGCUUUGCUAUCACUUAUAGAUGGACCUGCGCCGUAUUGGCUAGUUGGUACGGUAACGGCUUACCAAGGCAACGAUACGUAGCCGACCUGAGAGGGUGAUCGGCGACACUGGAGGUGGACCGCGGUCCAGGCUCCUACGGGAGGCAGCAGUAGGGAAUCUGCCGCAAAGGGCGAAAGCAUGACGGAGCAACGCCGAGUGAGAGAUGAAGGUCUUGGGAGCGUAAAGCUCUGUUAUGAGUGAAGAACAAACGUGUAAGGAACUGUGCACGUCUUGACGGUAACGAAUCAGAAAGCCACGGCUAACUACGUG